ACGAACGCUGGCGGCGUGCUUAACACAUGCAAGUCGAACGGUGAAGCGCCUUCCUUUUUGGUGGGUGUGGAUGAGUGGCGAACGGGUGAGUAACACGUGAGUAACCUGCCCCCUUCUUCUGGAUAACCGCAUGAAAGUGUGGCUAAUACGGGAUAUUCUGGGUCUGUCGCAUGAUGGGUCUGGGAAAGAUAUUGUUUCGGUGGGGGAUGGGCUCGCGGCCUAUCAGCUUGUUGGUGGGGUGAUGGCCUACCAAGGCGGUGACGGGUAGCCGGCCUGAGAGGGUGGACGGUCACACUGGGACUGAGACACGGCCCAGACUCCUACGGGAGGCAGCAGUGGGGAAUAUUGCACAAUGGGCGCAAGCCUGAUGCAGCGACGCCGCGGGAGGGAUGGAGGCCUUCGGGUUGUGAACCUCUUUCGCCGGUGAAGCAGGCCUGCCUCGUUUGUGGGUGGGUUGACGGUAGCUGGAUAAGAAGCGCCGGCUAACUACGUG
rnacentral:rRNA from 1 species